rnacentral:rRNA from 1 species
UACGUAGGCAGCAAGCGUUGUUCGGAAUUACUGGACGUAAAGAGUGUGUAGGCGGUGUUCUAAGUCUGUUGUGAAAUCUCCCGGCUUAACUGGGAGGGUGCGGCGGAGACUGGAAUGCUAGAGUGUGGGAGAGGUAAGCGGAAUUCCUGGUGUAGCGGUGAAAUGCGUAGAUAUCAGGAGGAACACCUGUGGUGUAGACAGCUUACUGGACCACGACUGACGCUGAGACACGAAAGCGUGGGUAGCAAACAGG